GACGAACGCUGGCGGCGUGCUUAACACAUGCAAGUCGAACGAGUGGCGAACGGGUGAGUAAUACGUGAGUAAACUGCCCUCUUUUUGGGAUAAGCCUUGGAAACGGGGUCUAAUACCGGCUAAAGGGGGAUGGGGUCGCGGCCUGUCAGCUUGUUGGUGGGGUGAUGGCCUACCAAGGCGGUGACGGGUAGCCGGCCUGAGAGGGUGACCGGCCACAUUGGGACGGUGAUGCGUCCCAGGGUACGACGGGAGGGAGCAGUGGGGGAUAUUGCAGAAUGGGCGAAAGACUGAUGCAGCGACGCCGCGUGGGGUAUGAAGGCUUUCGGGUUGUAAACCUCUUUCGCUAUCGAGCCGGUAGGUAGACAGGAAGCGCCGGCUAACUACGUGCCAGCAGCCGCGGUAAUUC
rnacentral:rRNA from 1 species